GAUGAACGCUGGCGGGAGGCUUAACACAUGCAAGUCGAGGGGCAGCAUAGGGUAGCAAUACUCUGAUGGCGACCGGCAAACGGGUGAGUAACGCGUAUGCAACCUACCCUGUACAGGGGGAUAACCCGGAGAAAUUCGGACUAAUAUCCCGUAAUAAUAUCCGGAGGCAUCUUUGGAUAUUUAAAGUUCCGACGGUACGGGAUGGGCAUGCGUAACAUUAACUGGUUGGUAAGGUAACGGCUUACCAAGGCUAUGAUGUUUAGGGGUCCUGAGAGGGUGGUCCCCCACACUGGUACUGAGACACGGACCAGACUCCUACGGGAGGCAGCAGUGAGGAAUAUUGGUCAAUGGGCGCAAGCCUGAACCAGCCAUCCCGCGUGCAGGAAGACGGCCCUAUGGGUUGUAAACUGCUUUUCCCCGGGGCGAAUAACCCCCUCGCGAGGGGGAGUGCCGGUACCGGGGAAUAAGGAGUCGGCUAACUCCGUG
rnacentral:rRNA from 1 species